UUUUAACAGAGAUUUUACGCCAAAUAUGUUUAAACAAUUAUCCAGACAGUUUCUAAAUAGUUACUGAGCCAGUUUCUAAAUAAUUAUCCAGACUGUUUUUAAAUAAUUACUCAGCCAGUUUCUAAACAAUUAUCCAGCCAAUUUCUAAAUAGUUACUCAGCCAGUUUCUAAACAAUUAUUCAGCCAGUUUCUAAAUAAUUAUCCAGACUGUUUCUAAAUAGUUACUCAGCCAUUUUCUAAACAAUUAUUCAAUCAAUUUCUAAGUAGUUAUUCAGCCAGUUUCUAAACAAUUAUCCAGCCAAUUUCUAAAUAGUUACUCAGCCAGUUUCUAAACAAUUAUUCAAUCAAUUUCUAAAUAGUUAUUCAGCCAGUUUCUAAACAAUUAUUCAGCCAGUUUCUAAACAAUUAUUCAGUCAAUUUCUAAAUAAUUAUCCAGACAGUUUCUAAACAAUUAUUCAGCCAAUUUCUAAAUAAUUAUCCAGACAGUUUCUAAACAAUUAUUCAGCCAGGUUCUAAACAAUUAUUCAGCCAAUUUCUAAAUAGUUACUCAGCCAGUUUCUAAACAAUUAUUCAGUCAUUUCUAAACAAUUAUUCAGUCAGUUUCUAAAUAGUUAUUCAGCCAGUUUCUAAAGAAUUAUCCAGCCAGUUUCUAAACAAUCACGCAAGGUUAUAAUCCAGAAAAGUUUUCUAAGAAAUAUUUUCACAGAUUUUUCGAGAACUUAUCAAAAUAUAAGGCACACUGUUUUCAGAAUAAGUCGUCAUUUUGCUUCAAGGGCUGAAAAGAGAAAUAUGUAAAAUAUCACACUAGAGAGCGCGC